GGACCCAUGCAGCAGCUGAAGGUGUGACGAGGGAGGCCUAGAGAUCACAGACUUUUCAAAGUAGUUGCCUGGACUCAUUGCCUAAUUGCUCUGCCCAUCACAGCAGGUACACUGCUCGCCUAUGGCAUAAAUGGGGGUCUCAAGCUGGCUCAAAGAAUUUUAAGGACAGUCAAGUCCAAAAGGUAUUAAUUAGUUUGUGCGGUUCCAGAUCAGUGUCAGGAACCUGCUAGUAAUUAGCGUUGUUUAACUAAAUGUGCUGUCCUGUGAGGCUGUGACCACUCCUGUAAAAAGGCUGUUCAAUGGGGAUUACAGGGCUUGAUAAAGAUUCAAUCCCGCAAGUCGUAGGGGGCAUCUAUUCUGUGCCUGGGGCUGUGGCCACAGGUGAAUCAAACAGGCCUGACUCCUGAGCUGGCGGAUGUGGGAGCAGAAACAGGGAUUCCAGGAAGGGGCUAUGCAGGUGGUCUGUGAGGGCCCUCUUGCUUUGAUCUUUAUAGGGUGUGAUUCCACCAAGCCCACCCCAGGGGGCUGAGGGCUGUGGAUGAACCAAGGGCCUCGGGAGGAAGCCAGUUCCAUGAGCGCCCCCUCCCUAAGCAGUGUAAUAAGGCACAGCACGGAUGGCUCUACAGAAACCCGCGGUAUUCUCAGACAGAACAAACCAGCCAGACGACGCCCAGUGAUGUGUCAGAGCUCUCUGACUAUCAUGACAGACACGGCCUCUUGAGAAAAGCCCUGCAGGUGUGCCAGAGAACAGCCAGAGCAUUGGUGGUUCAGUGGUAGAAUUCUCGCCUGCCACGCGGGAGGCCCGGGUUCGAUUCCCGGCCAAUGCAGUGCUGCUUUUUGGCCUCUUCCUGGCAAGCUCCCCCAGAGAUCCUGCUGCAGGAUCCAGCUCCUCAGUCACGCCCAGCCUGCAGCAGCCAAGGGUGCUGCGAAUCUCCGAGCGCACUUCCCUGCUUCGUGAGCACGAACAGCAGCUGGCUUCUCCACAGAGGCACCACUGGCUGCGGGACCCUUCCCCCGGUAAGGGGACUCCUGCUGCACCCCCUCAGCCUUGGCCAGUCUCCAGCAGGAAGCUGUGCUGAAGCCUGUGAGCUGUAAAACAGCUCAACACACCACGUGAAUGUGGAAUGGGAGGACCCACACUUCAGAGAGGAGGAAGUCCCCAGAGUCUCAGUGGGCUUUUUGCUACUGAGAAGGAACGACUUGAACUCUACUUCCUGUCCUGACGUCUGAAGGCAAAUCAACUUCUCACGCACACACGUAACGCACACACAUACACACAUGCGCGCUUGUGCGCGCACACACACAGCCUCCUCCAGCCUUCUCUCCUGCUCUGAAGCCUAAGCCUCUGCCGUUGCAGCUGUGCUGAUGUGGCCUUCCAUUCUGUGAAUCAGUGUACAGACAAGACGACUGGGGUUAAAGGGAGGUGCUCACACAGCUGUUCACAGCUGGAGCACUGGUGGUUCAGUGGUAGAAUUCUCGCCUGCCACGCGGGAGGCCUGGGUUCGAUUCCCAGCCAAUGCAGCAGCAAACUUUUUUCUUUUAUCAUCCUAAGAGACUGGGUUUGACAUUUCACACUCCCUACAGCAUUGGUGAUACAGUCUGAAAAACCUAGAAUGACUUUUUUCUAGCCUGAGUUUUCCACGCCUGUUUCCUAACCACAGAGACCUAGAUCUUGUGUCCCCUUGUUCUUGAGGAGUCCAGGAUGUGGGGAUCACCAAAGCUGCUGCAAGCAGCUGUGCCUCCCCUCCUGCCCAGACAGGCUGCCCGGGGACUCUGACUGCGAUGCCCCUGGGGAAGCCAGGCCGUGUGUGUUUCUGCUCUGUCGGUGUUAGAGUAGCCCUGAGAGUGGGAGUAACGACAUUCAUGAGGCUCCAGCAGGGCAGCAAAGACCCAGCCCUGCCAGCAGGGCAGCCCGUCCUGGAACCACCUCCUCGCCUGUCUCCUUGUUUCAGGUCACAAAAGGUCCCUGAGCCACCGGAAAGGGCCCUCCUCCCCACUUGAGAGACAGCAAAGGGGAUGCAUUCCCUGCCCCUGAGGGGCUCUCUGCCAGAAUCCCGUGGAGGGGAAACAAGAGAGGCCUCAAGGACUUUCAUGCAAAACAGAGAAAAAAAAUCUGGUGAGGACAGUGCAAGCUCCACAGCUCCAGGCCAGAGUCCCUGAGGACAGACUGGUGCCACGAUUCUCUGCCUCUUGAGCGCCAGCCCUCUGCCCGCGUCUAGAGCUCCCCACACAGGCACAGGCAGAGAGAAAAAGCAACUACAAAGGGAAGCAGAGGAAGUGAAGUUUGAAAUCCGGGCGUCCCCAGUUCCAGGCUAGUGUCUCUUCAAAAGAACACCCCGUCUCCUCUUUCAUCUCCACGUUGUGAGCCACAGCUGGGGGAUCUCAACUAGUUCUGAAGUUAAUAUCUGGCCCAGAUCACAAGUCCCGGUGACCUUUGCUGACGUUAGGGUCACACGCAUCGCUGUUCUAUGUCCCAGAGAAGAGAUCGGCUUCUGCUUCAUUUCUCUAAAAACUCUGGCUGACGAAGUAUCCUCUAGAGAUUGCUCAGAGCCUCCAUUCUCAACUAGUCAGAGGUGUCGCAGGAUGGCAGCGACACCCAUUCCCCAGGAGGCACAACGCCCAAUGCUGGCCAACUCCAAGCUCUCUACCCUGCUCUCAACUUCACCAAGUGCCACACCGACUACCUUGUCCCUGAUUGCGAAGGAGCCACAGACAGGCCAGGAUGUGUCUUUCACCCAAGGAGAACCUGGGGCCUCGUCUCAGCAACAAAACCACAGCCCCGCACU